UACGUAGGGGGCUAGCGUUGUCCGGAAUCAUUGGGCGUAAAGCGCGCGUAGGCGGCCCGGUAAGUCCGCUCUGAAAGUCCAGGGCUCAACCCUGGAAUGCGGGUGGAUACUGCCGGGCUAGAAUCCGGAAGAGGCGAGUGGAAUUCCUGGUGUAGCGGUGAAAUGCGUAGAUAUCUGGAGGAAUACCGGUGGCGAAGGCGGCAUCCUGGACCGGCAUUGACGCUGAGGCGCGAAAGCUAGGGGAGCGAACAGG
rnacentral:rRNA from 1 species